UACGUAGGGUGCGAGCGUUAAUCGGAAUUACUGGGCGUAAAGCGUGGCGCAGGCGGUGAUGUAAGACCGAUGUGAAAUCCCCGGGCUUAACCUGGGAACUGCAUUGGUGACUGCAUCGCUCGAGUAUGGCAGAGGGGGGUAGAAUUCCACGUGUAGCAGUGAAAUGCGUAGAGAUGUGGAGGAAUACCGAUGGCGAAGGCAGCCCCCUGGGUCAAUACUGACGCUCAUGCACGAAAGCGUGGGGAGCAAACAGG
rnacentral:rRNA from 1 species